rnacentral:rRNA from 1 species
UACGGGGGGGGCAAGCGUUGUUCGGAAUUACUGGGCGUAAAGGGCUUGUAGGUGGCCAACUAAGUCAGACGUGAAAUCCCUCGGCUUAACCGGGGAACUGCGUCUGAUACUGGAUGGCUGGAGUGUGGGAGAGGGAUGCGGAAUUCCAGGUGUAGCGGUGAAAUGCGUAGAUAUCUGGAGGAACACCGGUGGCGAAGGCGGCGUUCUGGACUGCAACUGACACUGAGAAACGAAAGCCAGGGGAGCAAACGGG